GGAGGUAGUGACAAUAAAUCACAAUGCGGGACUCCUAGUCUUGCAAUUGGAUUGAGAACAACGUACAACUCUUAUCGAUAAGCCAUUGGAGGGCAAGUCUGGUGCCAGCAGCCGCGGUAAUUCCAGCUCCAAUAGCGUAUAUUAACGUUGUUGCAGUUAAAAAGCUCGUAGUUGAAGUGAGGGAGUGUGUGUUCAUGAGAGCUAGUCUCGAGUGUUCACAACCUCCCCCCUCCAAUCGGUGUAGUGGGGUAUUCAGUUAUUUCACUACUCCUUUGGUCGUUUACUGUGAGAAAAUUAGAGUGUUCAAAGCGGGCGUUUGUUUGAAUAGAUUAGCAUGGAAUAAUGAUUGAAGGCUUUCGUGUUCGAUUUGAUUGGUUUGUUCAUGGAAGCAAGGUUAAAAGGAACAGUUGGGGGUAUUCAUAUUCACUAGUUAGAGGUGAAAUUCUCGGAUUUAUGGAAGAUGAACAAGUGCGAAAGCA
rnacentral:rRNA from 1 species